rnacentral:sRNA from 1 species
GUUGGGAUCUAAUUUGCUUUGUAGAAUGCAGACUUCCUGUGUCAAAUAUGAUCAGAUGUGAGGGGAAAUUUGAGCAGAGUGAUUUUGUGGUAGCCAAAGGGAAAAGCCAGAGAAGACCGUUUCUCAUUCAAAAAUAGAACAGUAACUGGAAUUAUUUCUCCCCAUUUGGAUUUUAGUUUUGUUUAGGGCCCAAAGCUAAAAGCAUGCUCCUGUGGUCUAAAGAGAGUGUCUGCCUAGGCCCAUGAGUAUGUGGGAAGGAGUUAAAAAUAGAGAAUAGCAAGCAGUCUUGUAUCCUUGGAGAAGCAAGGGCAGAAUUAUAAAGACUGGUGUGGAGUGUUCAGCCAAGAGAAAGCAGUCAGAAGCAUUUUCGGGAAGUUUGACAUGUGUCUUCCGGAGUUUGUGGCCCUGACAGGCUGCUGUUAAACUCUUCCUUGAAAAUCAAAGGUCUGGGACUGACAGGAGCUGCCUCUGGAGGAAGGUUUGGGUGGGGCUGGGAGUCAGGGAGCUCUGUGCACUCAAAAGACCAGCAGGAAUGCAGUCUGCAGUCUGCAGUUUGGGACUUGGACGUCUUCAGGCUGGCCUUAGGCUGGAGUUAAGGUCAGAGUGACGCCAUCUCUUCAAAGUGCCUUGGGGAUAGUGUAUCUCCUUCCAAAAAAGGAACUUUGAAGGCAUCAGCUAAGGUUCUGAGACCUCUUCCUUGAAGUAAACAUCAUGAAACUUGUCUUGUAGUUGAGGAAACCAGAACAGAGAAAAGUGACUUCCCGAGUUAGCAAAACACUGCAGUAACUCCCAGAGCUCAACUUUAUGCUAAGGAUCUCCAUACCCCAUCUCGACUUUGGGAUGUCCCCGACUCAGAAUGCCUAGGCACAUCAAAUGUCAGCGUCCUGGGAGCACGUCAAGAAUGGUAGAUAAAUAGAAUGUUAAGGCACUAAAUUUGUUGGAGUUGUUUUACUUGAGGAAAAAUAAAAACUCAUUUUUUUCGUCUUUGGGAAGUGCUGUAUGUCUCAUCUUAUGAGCCUUGGCAUCUUUUGGAGUUUUAUUGCAACCCCAUAAGAACAGCAAUACCAACCAACUGGAGCUCUCAGGGACUACACCACCCUUCAAAGAGUACACUCGGCACAGAUCCCUGACUCCAGCUGCCUAUGUAGCAGAGGAUGGCCU